AUGUGGUCUGGAAAAAAAAAUAAAAUAAAAGUGCAUUAGCGUCAGGUGUGUCGUGUAAAUAAGAUGUUGUAUAUAGUGAACUAAACGGUUUUCCUAAGAUAAGCAACUGAGCAACCAAGAAAGCUAUUUACACGUGAUUCCACAAGUGCGAAGAUCGCGUGCAAAGGUGACCUCCACUACCUUGUAUCGAUCGCAGAAUGGAUGUACUUUUAAGAUACUAUUAGUACAUAACGGAAAGUGAAAAGUCAUCCCCGUUUGCUAUGGAAAUUAAUACGGCACGAGUUUCUAUAGUUUGCCGGUCAUUUUUUUGCAAAUCUGCAAUAGAAGAAUGGUAGCACUAGGGAUAAUGGAUACACCCAUUAGAAAACUGAAAAUCAUCAAAGUGUGUCAACCGGCAAAGUAGAAAAAUGCGGAAUCAGCAUUUAGCAGUUUGGUGCAAAAAACGUGAGCCAAAUUAUGGAGACCGCUUUACGUGGCCAUUAGGUAUCGUUUGGAAUUCCGGAGUGUUUUCGCAAAACACCAGUGAGAAAAUGGAAGAAAUGCUGCAUAUUAGUCAAUGCACUCCUUCAUCAGAUUGUCACAGGACAAGGCGAAUAAAUGGCAGGGCCGAGAAAUAAGAAAGACGUCUUCAUAGUACAAAAGUCUGAAACAGAAAAGGAGAACGUUUUCCAAAGUAAAGGCAUCGGCGACACCACUGUGAAGGAGGAGUUUUUGAUAUUUUGGGAGAAUACAGAGGCGCCACUCAACCGUGCUAAAGGACCCCGACCUCAUUUUCUGUGAUCAUCAAUUUCCAGAUCUUCAAAGAAUGCCGAUUCCGGGUGACCUUCGACGUCUAAAACAACCACUUACGACCGGCGAUCCUUCAUUUUGAGACCGUUUGCAGUUGCUCCAUCAGAAUUUGCUGGGUUUUUAUCAACCAAGAGCCGUGAAACUCUGCAUACACAUAUACCGGACCUCGACCUCAUUUUCUGUGAUCUUCAAUUUCCAGAUCGUCAAAGAAUGCCGAUUCCUGGUGAUCUUCGACGUCUAAAACAACCACUUACGACCGGCGAUCCUUCAUUUUGAGACCGUUUGCAGUUACUCCAUCAGAGUUUGCUGGGUUUUUAUCAACCAAGAGCCGUGAAACUCUGCAUACACAUAUACCGGACUUGUCUUCUGUGAUAAUUAAUUUCCAGAUCGUCAAGGAAUGCCGAUUCCUGCUGAUCUUCGACGUCUAAAACAACCACUUACGACCGGCGAUCCUUCAUUUUGAGACCGCUUGCAGUUACUCCAUCAGAAUUUGCUUGAAACUCUGGCGACACAUAUAUUAGUUAUGCUCCACUCGAUACUUCAAUAAUCAUCAGUUCAUAUAUUUGUAUAUUAUAAGUUCAUAUUCUUUAUAAAUUUCUGUAAAUAAAGUUAUA
rnacentral:lncRNA from 1 species